AGUGAACGCUGGCGGUAGGCCUAACACAUGCAAGUCGAACGGCAGCACAGUAAGAGCUUGCUCUUACGGGUGGCGAGUGGCGGACGGGUGAGGAAUACAUCGGAAUCUACUUUUUCGUGGGGGAUAACGUAGGGAAACUUACGCUAAUACCGCAUACGACCUACGGGUGAAAGCAGGGGAUCUUCGGACCUUGCGCGAUUGAAUGAGCCGAUGUCGGAUUAGCUAGUUGGCGGGGUAAAGGCCCACCAAGGCGACGAUCCGUAGCUGGUCUGAGAGGAUGAUCAGCCACACUGGAACGGGGACACGGUCCAGACCCCUACGGGAGGCAGCAGUGGGGAAUAUUGGACAAUGGGCGCAAGCCUGAUCCAGCCAUACCGCGGGGGUGAAGAAGGCCUUCGGGUUGUAAAGCCCUUUUGUUGGGAAAAAAAAGCAGCAGGUUAAUACCCCGCUGUUCUGACGGUACCCAAAGAAUAAGCACCGGCUAACUUCGU
rnacentral:rRNA from 1 species